UACGGAGGGGGGCUAGCGUUGUUCGGAAUUACUGGGCGUAAAGCGCACGUAGGCGGCUUUGUAAGUUAGAGGUGAAAGCCCGGGGCUCAACUCCGGAAUUGCCUUUAAGACUGCAUCGCUAGAAUUGUGGAGAGGUAAGUGGAAUUCCGAGUGUAGAGGUGAAAUUCGUAGAUAUUCGGAAGAACACCAAUUGCGAAGGCAGCUUACUACCCGAAUAUUGACACG
rnacentral:rRNA from 1 species